UUGUAGUUUAGAGCUUAAGGUUUAGGGUUUAUGUGAAAGCAUGAGUUGGUAAUUUAUUUGUUGUGAAAGAUGAUAUGAUUAAUGCAUUGUUCACUUUUUAAUUAAGAGUAUUCAAAGGAUUAUUGAAUGAAGAAGGUAACAUGUUAGCUUUCUUUCAAAAAAAAAGUAUUCUGAGGAAUAAAAUCUAGGCUGAAGUCACUACAACAGAAUUAGGUUAUAGGGACACAUGUUUGGAACACUUUUGAGUAAGUGUCACAUUUAUGCUAAAACUUAAAAACACAUCUACUAAUAUCUAAAUAUAAAGCACAAUCCAACUAAAAAUAAAAGAUUACUCUACUCAACCGAUCACACACAGUCCAUUUGGCCCAAUUACAAAUAAAAAAAAAAAAAUCAAUUACCAUUUUUUCUUUUCUCUCCACUCAAUCCACUGAAAUUCUAGACGAAGAGCCUUUACUGUCGUCCUCCUCCGCCACCGCAGCCAACGAGAUAGAGUUUCGGCAGUUGCUAAAUGCUUAAAUAAGUGUUGAUAAAUUAGCAACACUCUUUUAGGUUAUAGCGACACUCUUUAACUGUCACUAUAUACCUAGCGUCUCCACAUAUAGCAACACUUUUUAAAAGUAUCGGUAAUUUUAGCUAGCAGUACUUUUUUAUCAUGUACCUACAUUUAAAAGUGUCGCUAUAGAUCGUUUUUGUUGUAGUGAGUGAGUAGUUUCUC
rnacentral:lncRNA from 1 species